UACAGAGGGGGCAAGCGUUAUUCGGAAUUAUUGGGCGUAAAGGGCGCGUAGGCGGCCUGGCAAGUGGAAGGUGAAAUCCCUCGGCUUAACCGAGGAACUGCCCUCCAAACUGCUUGGCUUGAGUCCGGGAGAGGUGAGUGGAAUUCCCAGUGUAGCGGUGAAAUGCGUAGAUAUUGGGAGGAACACCAGUGGCGAAGGCGGCCACCUGGACCAGCACUGACACUGAGGCACGAAAGCGUGGGGAGCAAACAGG
rnacentral:rRNA from 1 species